GCUGGAAGGAGCUAUGAACAAUAGAGAAAGAGACUAUAGAGAUUGGCUGGAUUUACCGUGUAUGAGCUGGAUUGUUUUGGACUUACCUGUUGGCGUUUGGACCUGGACCUACCGAGAACCCGAUUCGUGUACCGAACCCUGCUAUCCUUGACCUCGCCUACGGCCUGGGUGGACCAGGACGGAGAAACAAACGAACAGUUCUGCCCGCUCUGACUCUGGUCCCGGUCUCCAGUUCUACGUCUCGUCAUCCUGCUACUCUGUCCUGGAUUCCCCUCCUGACCUGCCUACCCUGUCCCAACCCCUCGCGCUCCAGCCUCAGCCUCCGCACCUGGUUUCCAGUAACCCGCCCAAGCUUCCCUUGACCUGCACUCCAUCUCCCCCUUCUGUUUCAAUAAAUACCUGAGUUACUUCA